CCCCGGGGCGCGGCCCGCCGCCGAGCAGCCCGCCGCCGAGACGCCGCCCGCGGCCAGGAAGGCCCCCCGGGCCGGGUGCGCAGAUAAAGUCGCUGGUAAAGCUCCCAAAGAAGAGAAGGAGGAGGAGGAAGUGGCCGGCGUGCUCAGCCAUGGCUCUCCCGUGGGCACAGCCCGGCCCGGCCGGAGUUGGCGCAGCAGCCGGACGGCGGCCACCGCUCGCCAGCGCGACUCCGAGAAUUCCCGUGCCUCCAGAUCCAAGGCUGGCUCCCUGCAGCUCAUCUGCAAGUCAGAGCCCAACGCCGACCAGCUGGAGUACGUGGUCACAGAAGAGCAUCAGUCUCCAGAUGGAGUCAGGUAGGACAUGUUAUUUUUUUGGUGUUUGCUCCUAUUUGGUGUCUCAAGAUGGGCCCGAGUCACUUGAAAAUGAAUGCUUGUGCAGAAUGAUCCGUGGGACUGACAGUAGCUCUCUCUCCUUUGGCCCCUCGCCUUUGCAGUUCCAGUGUGCACAGGUGUCAGGAGAUAUUAUGGAGAUACGGAUAGUAAGAUUUGAUCUGGGCACUCCACCUGGUAGCUUUGUUGCUGUGGGUGGGUGGCUUGAGGAGAGGACACAGCUCUGCCUGGCCUGUUUUGGUUGUUGCUGUGCUCCUUGGUCAGUGCAAGCAGUUACCUUUCCCCAGUCAUGCGGGAUGAGGAAGUGCUGUGUAAUAGUGCACAGAUUUUCUUGCAGUAGUGGCCAAGCUGUUGCUGCCAAAGUCCUCUCUUCUCCUUUUCUCCCA
rnacentral:lncRNA from 1 species